rnacentral:rRNA from 1 species
AAGGGUGAGGAACGCGUGAGUAAUCUGCCCCCCAGUUGGGAAUAACAGUUGGAAACGACUGCUAAUACCGAAUGUGGCUUAAGCUUCGCCUGGAGCUUUGGCUAAAGAUUUAUCGCUGGGGGAUGAGCUCGCGUCCCAUUAGGUAGUUGGUGAGGUAACGGCUCACCAAGCCGACGAUGGGUAGCUGGUCUGAGAGGAUGGUCAGCCACACUGGGACUGAGACACUGCCCAGACUCCUACGGGAGGCUGCAGUCGAGAAUCUUGGGCAAUGCGCGAAAGCGUGACCCAGCAAUGCCGCGUGUAUGAUGAAGGCCCUCGGGUCGUAAAGUACUGUCUCCCGUGACGAAAUUUGACGGUAGCGGGGAAGGAAGCCACGGCUAACUACGUGCCAGCAGCCGCGGUAAUACGUAGGUGGCGAGCGUUGUUCGGAUUUAUUGGGCGUAAAGGGUCUGUAGGAGGUUUGUUAAAUACGGGGUGAAAUCCCGAAGCUCAACUUCGGAAUUGCCUUGUAGACUGACGGACUGGAGUACCGGAGAGGUAAGCGGAAUACCAGGUGUAGCGGUGGAAUGCGUAGAUAUCUGGUAGAACACCAAAAGCGAAGGCAGCUUGCUGGACGGAAACUGACUCUGAAAGACGAAAGCAUGGGGAGCAAACAGGAUUAGAUACCCUGGUAGUCCAUGCCGUAAACGUUGUCAACUUGAUGUGGGGGGGAUUUAGUCCUCUCCGUAUCGAAGCUAACGCGAUAAGUUGACCGCCUGGGGACUACGGCCGCAAGGCUAAAACUCAAAUGAAUUGACGG